rnacentral:rRNA from 1 species
AUUGAACGCUGGCGGCAUGCUUUACACAUGCAAGUCGAACGGUAACAGGCCGCAAGGUGCUGACGAGUGGCGAACGGGUGAGUAAUGCAUCGGAACGUGCCCAGUCGUGGGGGAUAACUGCUCGAAAGAGCAGCUAAUACCGCAUACGAUCUAUGGAUGAAAGCGGGGGACCGGAAGGCCUCGCGCGAUUGGAGCGGCCGAUGUCAGAUUAGGUAGUUGGGGGGGUAAAGGGUCACCAAGCCAACGAUCUGUAGCUGGUCUGAGAGGACGAGCAGCCACAGUGAGACUGAGACACGGCCCAGACUCCGACGGGAGGCAGCAGUGGGGAAUUUUGGACAAUGGGGGCAACCCUGAUCCAGCAAUGCCGCGUGCAGGAAGAAGGCCUUCGGGUUGUAAACUGCUUUUGUACGGAACGAAACGGUCUGGGUUAAUACCCUGGGCUAAUGACGGUACCGUAAGAAUAAGCACCGGCUAACUACGUGCCAGCAGCCGCGGUAACAC